rnacentral:rRNA from 1 species
UACAGGGGGUGCAAACGUUGCUCGGAAUCAUUGGGCGUAAAGCGCACGUAGGCGGUUCGUUAUGUCGGAUGUGAAAGCCCUUGGCUUAACCGAGGAAGUGCAUCCGAAACUGGCGAGCUAGAGUACGAAAGAGGAUCGCGGAAUUCCCGGUGUAGAGGUGAAAUUCGUAGAUAUCGGGAGGAACACCGGUGGCGAAGGCGGGCACUCGUGGGUCGAUACUGACGCUGAGGUGCGAAAGCGUGGG